rnacentral:tRNA from 1 species
AGUGGUUAAGUGCUUGGCUGCUAACCAAAAGGUCGGUGGUUCAAACCCACCAGCCCCUC